rnacentral:rRNA from 1 species
GACGAACGCUGGCGGCGUGCUUAACACAUGCAAGUCGAACGGCAAGGCCCUGCUUUUGUGGGGUGCUCGAGUGGCGAACGGGUGAGUAACACGUGAGUAACCUGCCCUUGACUUUGGGAUAACUUCAGGAAACUGGGGCUAAUACCGGAUAGGAGCUCCUGCUGCAUGGUGGGGGUUGGAAAGUUUCGGCGGUUGGGGAUGGACUCGCGGCUUAUCAGCUUGUUGGUGGGGUAGUGGCUUACCAAGGCUUUGACGGGUAGCCGGCCUGAGAGGGUGACCGGCCACAUUGGGACUGAGAUACGGCCCAGACUCCUACGGGAGGCAUCAGUGGGGGAUAUUGCACAAUGGGCGGAAGCCUGAUGCAGCAACGCCGCGUGCGGGAUGACGGCCUUCGGGUUGUAAACCGCUUUCGCCUGUGACGAAGCGUGAGUGACGGUAAUGGGUAAAGAAGCACCGGCUAACUACGUG